UGAAUUUUUGUAGCAUUCUUUUAUGGCAAUUAACACAGUCUAUAUUUUAGAGAUUUUAUCCAAUUGUAUUGUAAAUGGGUUUUAUCUAUUAGGUUGGUGCAAAAAUAAUAGCGAUUUUUGCAAUUACUUUUAAUGGCAAAAACCACAAUUACUUUCGCACUAACCUAAUGGUUGUGCUGUAAAUUCCCAGGGGAUAGGGAACACCCAAGAUUCAUACAACUUUGUGUAAAUAUGUUAACCAUCUUGCAUUAUUAGUGCCUUACAUAAAUCUGAUUUUAAAAUAUAUAUUUGCCCAGUAAAUGAAUAUUUCAGUAAAGUUUAAUAAAAAAAUAUAAGUAUUAACUGGCUAUUAAUUCAUAUGAAUUUAUGUAGAAGUCUUCUUAAAAAUUUGAGAGUUAACUUAAGAAUCAUUCUCAUAUCAUUAUUGCCAGCAUGUUUUCCAAAGUAUGAGCCUAAAUAUAUGGACUAGCCAGUUCUCAUGGCCAUUAGUGUACACUUGUAAAAUUAUUUUUAUUUAUGUUGGAAUUUGCAAAGUCUAUUUUCAAAUCCAACUGGGAUUAUUUUUAUGGCAGAGAUUAUUACAGCGGUAUUUCUAAGUCAUGUAGAAAAAAAUGUGAAUCUGGGAGGUUCUGUGAUGCUUAGAGAUUUCAGUUCCAACUUGUUCCAGUUGAUGUCACUAUGGCAAAGGUAUCCCACACAUGUGGCAUACAGCAGCGGGGGAAGGAGGAUACAAAUCUAAUAAUGUGGCCAAAUCAAGAGGAAACGUAUUUGGGGGCAAGGCUAAAAUGGGAAUGGGAGCAUGGCAGAACAUCAGGAUUCCACAUCUGGAAUCAGAGGGGCUGAGUGAAUGCAUUUACCUGAUCUUCUAUGAGUCAGCAAAACAAACACACAAAGCCAUCGUGAGUUUGGAAGCUGUGAAACUGCUGCUCUUUGCAAUGACAGAUCUUCCUAUGCUCUGAACUGCAGCAAUACAUUGAGGUAGCAGUAAUUACAGACUUUCAUAUGGCUUCUCUGCUCUGUAGAAGUAGUAAAUGAACCUCUUGGGGCUAAAUUUCUAGCUUUGGGCUCCUGCACCAUCUUUCUCCCUACAGGAAGUCACGACAGACAACAGAGGAAGUCCAAAGCAAGGACAACGCUGUUUAUGAAAAGGAGUGGUAAUGGUUCAGAGUGAAAAUUAACAGAUGUUGGGAUAAAAAUGUCUGCCUGGGUACUUUAUGGCUCCAAAGUAAAUAAUAUGUCCCUGAGUUUUAGCAGCUGUUUAGGGACUCCUGUAUCUUAGUGUUAGUUUAAACGGCAAGGUAAAGGAACUCAUGUAACUUAACACUGUUCAUCAACACAAACUUACUGGAUAUCUUUCUGAAAUGUGAAAACAGAUCUGUUUUCAGAUACUAUUCAACUGUGCAAGGAGGCAAACAGAUGUAUUCAUUAACACUCCCCACAGAGCAUAUUGUGAUAUUUGCAAAUGGAAAAUGCUGGAGCUGAGGUUACACAAAUGUUUUCUGUUAUGAAACUUCCUUCCAUAAGACCAUGAUUUUCAAGGAGGAUCUCAUUUAGGACUGUUUUUUGUUGUUAUACUUUCUGUAAUGGGUGAUUUUUCUAAUUAAGAUAAUUUGCAUUUUAACCUUGUUUUAGAAAGUGAUUAUUCUUUUUUUUUCUGUCUAAAGGUAGAUAAUGUUACCUGUUUAAAUUCAUUUUUUUAACCCAAGUUUUGCCUCAGGAUCUAUAAGUCAAUUUUUUAUAGUAAGAUAUUGGAUGCCCAGUGAAGAAAAGGUUUUUGCCAAGCUGAAAGAAAUUCAAGGCAAGAUUGUGA
rnacentral:lncRNA from 10 species